rnacentral:rRNA from 1 species
CCUACGGGGUGCUGCAGUGAGGAAUAUUGGUCAAUGGACGAGAGUCUGAACCAGCCAAGUAGCGUGAAGGAUGACUGCCCUAUGUGUUGUAAACUUCUUUUAUAUGGGAAUAAAAUGUUCCACGUGUGGGCUUUUGUAUGUACCAUAUGAAUAAGGAUCGGCUAACUCCGUGCCAGCAGCCGCGGUAAUACGGAGGAUCCGAGCGUUAUCCGGAUUUAUUGGGUUUAAAGGGAGCGUAGGUGGAUUGUUAAGUCAGUUGUGAAAGUUUGCGGCUCAACCGUAAAAUUGCAGUUGAAACUGGCAGUCUUGAGUACAGUAGAGGUGGGCGGAAUUCGUGGUGUAGCGGUGAAAUGCUUAGAUAUCACGAAGAACUCCGAUUGCGAAGGCAGCUCACUGGACUGCAACUGACACUGAGGCUCGAAAGUGUGGGUAUCAAACAGGAUUAGAUACCCGGGUAGUC